rnacentral:rRNA from 1 species
ACGAACGCUGGCGGCAUGCCUAACACCUGCAAGUCGAACGAGACCUUCGGGUCUAGUGGCGCACGGGUGCGUAACGCGUGGGAACCUGCCCUUAGGUUCGGAAUAACUCCCCGCAAGGGGUGCUAAUACCGGAUAAUGUCUUCGGACCAAAGAUUUAUCGCCUUUGGAUGGGCCCGCGUUGGAUUAGCUAGUUGGUAGGGUAAAAGCCUACCAAGGCGACGAUCCAUAGCUGGUCUGAGAGGAUGAUCAGCCACACUGGGACUGAGACACAGCCCAGACUCCUACGGGAGGCAGCAGUGGGGAAUAUUGGACAAUGGGCGAAAGCCUGAUCCAGCAAUGCCGCGUGAGUGAUGAAGGCCUUAGGGUUGUAAAGCUCUUUUACCCGGGAUGAUAAUGACAGUACCGGGAGAAUAAGCUCCGGCUAACUCCGUG